AUACGUAGGUGGCGAGCGUUGUCCGGAAUUACUGGGCGUAAAGGGUGCGUAGGCGGAAUCUUAAGUCAGAUGUGAAAACCUUGGGCUUAACCUGAGAAUUGCAUUUGAAACUGGGGUUCUAGAGUGCAGGAGAGGGAAGCGGAAUUCCUAGUGUAGCGGUGAAAUGCGUAGAUAUUAGGAAGAACACCAGUGGCGAAGGCGGCUUUCUGGACUGUAACUGACGCUGAUGCACGAAAGCGUGGGGAGCAAACAGGAUUAGAUACCCUGGUAGUCCACGCUGUAAACGAUGAGUGCUAGGUGUGGGGGGCUAAGCCCUCUGUGCCGCAGUAAACGCAAUAAGCACUCCGCCUGGGGAGUACGGUCGCAAGACUAAA
rnacentral:rRNA from 1 species